GCCUAACACAUGCAAGUCGAACGGCAGCACAGGGGAGCUUGCUCCCUGGGUGGCGAGUGGCGGACGGGUGAGUAAUACAUCGGGACCUACCCAUGACGUGGGGGAUAACCUCGGGAAACCGGGACUAAUACCGCAUACGUCCUACGGGAGAAAGCGGGGGACCUUCGGGCCUCGCGCGUCUGGACGGACCGAUGUUCGAUUAGCUAGUUGGUGGGGUAAAGGCCUACCAAGGCUGCGAUCGAUAGCUGGUCUGAGAGGAUGAUCAGCCACAUUGGGACUGAGACACGGCCCAAACUCCUACGGGAGGCAGCAGUGGGGAAUAUUGGACAAUGGGCGCAAGCCUGAUCCAGCAAUGCCGCGUGUGUGAAGAAGGCCUUCGGGUUGUAAAGCACUUUUAUCAGGAGCGAAAUCGGCAAGGUUAAUAACCGUGUCGUCUGACGGUACCUGAGGAAUAAGCACCGGCUAACUUCGUGCCAGCAGCCGCGGUAAUACGAAGGGUGCAAGCGUUAAUCGGAAUUACUGGGCGUAAAGGGUGCGUAGGCGGUUAGUUAAGUCUGUUGUGAAAUCCCCGGGCUCAACCUGGGAAUGGCAAUGGAUACUGGCUGGCUAGAGUGUGUCAGAGGAUGGUGGAAUUCCCGGUGUAGCGGUGAAAUGCGUAGAGAUCGGGAGGAACAUCAGUGGCGAAGGGGGCAUCUGGGAAACACUGACGCUGAAGCACGAAAGCGUGGGGAGCAAACAGGGAUUAGAUACCCUGGUAGCCCACGCCCUAAACGAUGCGAACUGGACGUUGGUCUCAACUCGGAGAUCAGUGUCGAAGCUAACGCGUUAAGUUCGCCGCCUGGGGAGUACGGUCGCAAGACUGAAACUCAAAGGAAUUGACGGGGGCCCGCACAAGCGGUGGAGUGUGUGGUUUAAUUCGAUGCAACGCGAAGAACCUUACCUGGCCUUGACAUGUCGCGAAUCCUGCAGAGAUGCGGGAGUGCCUUCGGGAAUGCGAACACAGGUGCUGCAUGGCUGUCGUCAGCUCGUGUCGUGAGAUGUUGGGUUAAGUCCCGCAACGAGCGCAACCCUUGUCCUUAGUUGCCAGCACGUAAAGGUGGGAACUCUAAGGAGACUGCCGGUGACAAACCGGAGGAAGGU
rnacentral:rRNA from 1 species